GGGACCUAGCUUGCUAGGUUGCCGGCGAGUGGCGGACGGGUGAGUAACGCGUAGGAAUUUGCCCUAUAGUGGGGGACAACUCGAGGAAACUCGAGCUAAUACCGCAUACCCUCUACGGAGGAAAGCUUGGCCUUUUGGCCUGGCGCUAUAGGAGAAUCCUGCGUUCGAUUAGCUUGUUGGUGAGGUAAUGGCUCACCAAGGCGACGAUCGAUAGCUGGUCUGAGAGGAUGAUCAGCCACACUGGGACUGAGACACGGCCCAGACUCCUACGGGAGGCAGCAGUGGGGAAUAUUGGACAAUGGGGGAAACCCUGAUCCAGCAAUGCCGCGUGUGUGAAGAAGGCCUUCGGGUUGUAAAGCACUUUCAGUGGGGAGGAAAGGUAGUUGUUUAAGAGAUGAUUACUGUGACGUUACCCACAGAAGAAGCACCGGCUAACUCUGUGCCAGCAGCCGCGGUAAUACAGAGGGUGCGAGCGUUAAUCGGAAUUACUGGGCGUAAAGAGCACGUAGGUGGAUGAAUAAGUCAGGGGUGAAAGUCCUGGGCUCAACCGAGGGAUUGCCUC
rnacentral:rRNA from 1 species